CCUCUGCUGCUUUGGAACAGAUCACCACUGCAAGAGAGGAAGCUGCUACUGUGAUGAAUUCUGCCACGAGGUGUCAGACUGCUGCCCAGACCACCGCACCCUGUGCACCCUGGAUAACUCACAUGCAGGCUCCUUCCCACCCCUGGCGGAGCCGGAUGCUGUGAUGGACAGAGGCAAGCCCCUUGCUUGUACUUCAGGCCAAGGCCAGGAUGUGGACUGGAUGCCUCCUGAGGGCCCUGAUAAUCCUGAGAUCCUCACAUUUGGUCCAUUUCGUACCAAAAGUGCCCACAUAUUCCUCCCAGCUUUGUUUCCCCACUGCUCCUGACCACCUGCUGCUCCCCUCUGAGCUCCUUUCCCAGAUCCCCACAGGGAGAGGCUAAGCUGUUGGUGGUUGGGGAUCAGGGUGGCGAGUGAGGUGGUUGGGUCACCUAACUGCCCCCGCAUCUCUUGCAACAUAGAUGCCUCUUGACCUGACCCAUGUAGACUUUUGAGGGAAGACAGGAGUCUGCAGAGAGGUGCUAGGGAUGUUACAUAGGAGGAGGGAGACUGGGAGUCAGGGAGGAGGCCAGGAGCUUUUGCUUUGUGUUUCUCAGCUUCUCAGAAUACCAAGAUGGUGCUGCAGAUGGUGCUGAGGAGGGAGACCCCCCCGAGCCCUGCAAGAAGCAACCUAGACUGGAUACAGAAUGUGGUGAGUACCCUGGUGGUUCUCCCGGAAGGGGUGCUGACAACCUGCUCCUGCCUCCCUGGCCUGUAGACCCCAGAGUCAGGGAACCACUACCAAGGGGGGAAAGAGACCUGAGCUGGGGCACAGCUCCACGGUUUUAGGGCUAGGAGCCAUGGUAUCUGACCAUGGACACUGACACCUGAAUUUCAUAUAAUUUUCAUGUGUCAUGACAUAUUCUUUUGACUUUUUUCAACCACUUAAAAUAUAAAAAACAUUCUUAACUUGUGAUCUGCACACACACACACACACACACACACACACACACACACACAAACCUGCAACAAGUCAGACUUGGCCCACGGAUUGUGGUUGGCUGCUCUCUGCCCUAAAUCAUCCUUUGUUCUUUACUUUUCGUUUGGGUCGUGACUUCAGCACUGACCUGUCCAGAGCUCUCUGCCCAGAACUGGAGCAGAGGCUUCAGUCCCCACUCUAGCAUAUUAUGACCAUUGGGCAGAAAGAAAGGCAGCAUGGUACAAGGAAAGAGCAUGGACUCGGGAGCCAGCAAGACCUGGGUUCAAAUCCUGUCUCUACCACUUAUUACCUGGAUGAUUACUGGAUGACCUGAAGUAACUUCUUCUGCCUUUCUGAGCUUCCCUUUCCUCAUCUGUGUCCCAGAGCUUGCCCUGUAGAGCUGUUACAAAAGGGCCUUGGUAGAUGUACAACGAGACAUAGCUAUUAUUUGGGGACAUGCAAAUAAGCUGCAGAGGGUGUAGGCCUUCGCUUCCUGCUCACUUAGGUCCAGCAGCUUCUGCACACCAGCCUCCCAGGGAGGCCCCUCUCCAUCUCCAUGAAGAAAAUCAAGAAGAGAGCCUGACAUCUCCCAUGAAGCUCCUCCAGGGCCCUGUGAUGCAGAGCCCACCCUAUUCCCCUCCCCCAGCAUCCCCAGGUCUGCUGGGGCCUUACCACUGGGCCCACUGUGCUUGUCUCUUGGUUUCUAUCCUGCGUGCUUCUAUAUUGGUUCAACCAGAGGAAGACGGAAAUCUGCAAUAGUCAUAAACACAUUUAAAUCAGCCAUACAUGGCUGGGUGGCUCAGUCAGUUGAGUAUCCAAAUUCAGCUCUGGUCAUGAUCUCACAGUUCAUGAGUUCAAGCCCUGCAUUGGGCUCUGUGCUUACAGCCCAAAGCCUGGAGCCUGCUUCGGAUUCUGUGUCUCCCUCUCUCUCUGCCCCUCCCCUGCUCUCUCUCUCUCUCACUCUCUCUCUCAAAAUAAAUGAACAUUAAAAAAAUUAAAUCAGCCAUACAGAUUAUAAAACAUAAAUUUGGCUCAUUGUAUUCAUUGUUUGUGGUGGUUAUAAUGAAUAUAGUAACUGUUUCUUGAAAGCAGAAGGCGAGAACCUAGCACCCCUUUGGCUAAGUGAUCUGUGCCUCCUUCUUCAGUAUUCCUUCCCAGGUAUCAUGUGACCACCUCUAAAUCCCAAAAUAGCCUGGUCUGAUCCCUAGCCUCGUGUUCACCUACUUUUCUUCCCAUGGUAAAAAGAGGCAGGGUGACCUUCUUCUAGUGGGUUGGGAUUGGCUUUCUGGGAGUUUCCUUGUGUGAGGAUUUCAAAACUCCAGGAGAGUGAUGCCAGGGGGUUUUGGGGUCUGUUGAACCCAUUGCCUUCCCUCUCAGACCUGCUCCUCCCCCUGUUUGGUGAAUGGUUCCCUACCCUUCAGCUUCCUGCACUCCAGGCCUUAGGGUCUUCUUUUUCUUCUCUCUGCCUGUGGCCUUCCUCUGCAAGGUGACAAGUCUUUCUAGUUCUACUUCACAACACGGUUCAUUUCUGCUCCUCCUAUACUCCAAUUGCCAAAGUCCCAGGUCACAGCGUCCUAACUGGUCCUCUUGCCCCCGGGAUCUCCCCUAACUGGUCUCUGUCCCCAGUUUACUGCCCACAGCAGAGUUCUGGUGUUGCCAGUUCCUCAUUCAGAAACCACCACUGGCUUCCCAUUGUCUCCAGAACAAAAGCUAACCUCCCACAUAUGGCUACAAAGCCCUCCACAGCAUGAGCCCAAGGCACAUUUCUGGCUUUAUCUGCUAUAAGUCCCUUUCCCCACUCCUAUGUUCUACCUAAAUAGAAUGACCCAUUAUCCCUGUCCAUGCCUUCCUCCAGGCUUUGGCUAAUCUGAACACUGGUUUCUAAGUAAAUGAUUAUAGCAAAGGAGGUCCUGUCAAAGUCCAGUUAUUGGCUCUAUUGGUUCUAUUUUAGCUUAGUUUCUCUGAAUAACUUAUUUGGGAACAGAACUCCAAGGAACAGGUGAGGGAAAAGGGAAGUGAUGCAGAGAAGAAGGGAGACCCAACACAAAGAUGCAUUAUUCAGUUGGCCCCCACUAUGGCUGAUUAGUUGCUUGAUCCUGUGGGACUUUUUUUUUUUUAAUUUUUUUUAACGUUUAUUUAUUUUUGAGGCAGAGAGAGACAGAGCAUGAACGGGGGAGGGGCAGAGAGAGAGGUAGACACAGAAUCUGAAACAGGCUCCAGGCUCUGAGCUGUCAGCACAGAGCCCGACGCGGGGCUUGAACUCACGGACCGUGAGAUCAUGACCUGAGCCGAAGUCGGACACUUAACCGACUGAGCCACCCAGGCGCCGAUCCUGUGGGACCUUUUAAAAAAAUCUUAUGAAAUGUUUCAGAGAACCAUCUGUCCUGGGGAUGGAAUAGGAAGCAUCUGUCCAUUGCCUCCCAUUCUCAUGGUUUAUAGGUUGCUCCACUAGUCGCUAACUCUUUCAGUUCUUUGUUGGUGGUAUGUGAGAGCAGAGCAGCUCUUGGAAGCAUCCCAAGCCUUGGCAUCAGGGAAACCCUGGCAGAGAGCAAAUGGAACAUGGCAAGGCACUGCCUCACCACUCCUGGAAAAGUAGUCACCGUAGCAAUGGCUGGAGUAGGAAGCAAGGCCAAAAGGACUUGAAUGGUGUACAAAAGGUGUUCUACCUACUGGCUUUUGGGAACACAUGCUUUAUCCCUCUAGCUCUUCCAACCACAGAUUUCUUCUCCUGCCUAGGGAUGGAGGAGCCUGGGUGAGGAGACAUCCCUGGGCCCUGUUUGGAAGAACUGGUCUCAUACAUCCAGACCUAGUGGUCUCUCUCCCUUCCUUGCUAGGGAGUACUUUUCAAGUAAGGCUCUGUGGGAUGUGGCCUCUCCAGUUGGGAUCAUCCUGUGGGCCUCACAGAAAGCCCAAAGAUGUUGAUUUAUGGGCUCUUUUCCCUCUCUUCACUCAGUGAUUAUUUUCCUUCCAAAUGUCCAGAAACUCCAUCUCUUUUAAUUGCUCCUAUAUCAUCCUUUCAUCCCAGAUAGGAUGAACAGAGUUAGGUUAUUCCAAACUGAAGAAACUGUUUCUGAGAUGUCCCAAUACUGGUACAGCUUCCUCUCUAGUUGAGUGUACACGUGUGUGCAUAUGUGCAUGCAUAUUUCAUUUCUAUCUGGCUCUCCAUCUUCCCUCCCCAUCUUCCAAAUAUCUUCCCUAUGAAAGUCAUUUCCCUGGCAGCAGCAUACUACCAGGGAAAAGCCCUGGAAAAACAGAGGGUCUGCAUUACCAGCCCUGCCUGGUAUUUAAUUUAAUGCAAAUUAAAAUUACAAAGAGAAAUUAAUAUUCAUAACGAUGUCUAAAAUUACAAGGCCUGAUGAUAGCAAGUGUUGAUGAGAAUGUGGAGCAACUGGAACUCUUAUAUGUUGCUGGUAUAGCCGAAGCUGGCACAAUCAAUUUGGAAAACUGUUGGAUACUAUAUACUAAAGCUAAACACAUGUAUGCCCAAUGACCCAGCAAUUCCACUCAUAUAUAUAUAUAUAUAUAUAUAUAUAUAUAUAUACCCAAAACAAAUGCAAGACUGUUCAUUGCAGCUUUAUCCAGAAUAGUGAAAAACUGGAAACAACUCAAAUGUCCAUCAAUAGGAAAAUGGAUAAAUAAAUGGUGGUGUAUUUUAUACAAUGGAAUACUAUCUAACAACAAAAAAGUACUGUUACACGCAACAUGAGUGAGUUUCACAGGCAUAAUGUUAAGAAAAAGAAGCCACACACGAACGAGUGUGUAUUCAUAAUUCCAUUUACAUGAAGAUCAAAAACAGGCAAAACUAAUCCAUGGUGAUAGAGGUAACAAUGAUUUUGGGGGGCAAAUACUGACUGGAAGGGAACACAAAGGAGCCUAAUGAGAUGCUGAAAAUGUCUCCUAUCUUUGUCUGAGUGUGGAUACCUCCUUGGUGUAUACAAAUGUAAAAAUUCAUCAAGUUGUAUGCUACUUAGGAUUGAUGUAGUUUACUGUAUGUGGGCUAUACCCUAACAAAGAGAUGAAUGAAGAAGUGGACAGAGGGCUCUCUGGAGUUUCCUCUACUAUAGCCCAAGGAAUAGGGGUUAGCGUGGGGAAGGCCCAUUCUCAGGUCCUUACAAAUUUAGAUGCUCCUCACCACCUCUUCUGGGGUAACUCUGCCUGACAGGAUCCCAUCUAAACAAUCUGUGCAUACUUAACAUUUUGAACUUGUAGGGACACACUUGGACCCCCCCAGAGUUGCUAUAGAAAUAUUUUAAAGUAGAAACAUUAAAGCAAUAGAAGAUGUAGAAAGAAAUGUAAUCUGAACUUCCCUUAACUAAAGCAGAGCCUUCCAAAAAUACACCUGCCAUUAGUGUCCUUCUGAGUGAUUUUCUAGCCAAUUCAGUCUGCCAUGGAGACAGACUGCCUAAUAGAACCUUCUGUACCCAUGGAAGCCCUAAACCCCCCACCCUUCCACUCCCACUCCUUCUUUAUGUUUGGUAUAUAAACCUUGAUAUCUGGCUAUUCAGUGAGUUAUUCAAUACUGAGCAACUUCCUGGUGCCCUUGUCAAUAAACUUGGUCUUUUCACCUGUUCAUCUGUCUGUUCUUAAUUAAUUUGCAGACCCUCAAUCAUCAGACCCAUGUUGAAGGAGAAAAAAGUUUUUCCUCCCAACAAACCCAGAACAACUUAGCUGUGGCCUGGAGCUGGGCUAUAUCUCAGUGGUCUAGCAGAUUUAUAACCUUGUAUUUUGAGGACAUUUGACCAAGUUGACUCUUUUAUCAGACUCUUGGCAGGACAGUGCUUUGGGCUUUACUUGAUAACCCUUGUCCUGAGCCAGGUUCAUCCCUAUAAUAUGCACUGGUUUCAUUGUGGACAGAGGGGUUCUAAACACUCUGAUGAAAGAGCCAGACCCAAAAGGCACUGAUGACAACUCCAUCCUUCCAGUUGUUCAAGCUGAGAAGUCUGUACUUAUUCUUGAUUUCUGUUUGUUUGACAUCCCACAUCAAUGUGGCAGGAAAUCAUGUGGACUCUAUUUUCAAAAUACAUCCAGAAUCUGAUCGACUCCCACUACUUCCUCUGCUACCUCCCCUGUCAGAGCCACCCUCCUGUCUUGCCUGGACUAGGGAAAAAGCUCCCAUUCUUAGUGCAGCUGCCAGACCGAUCCUUCUAAAGUUAGAUCCCAUGGCUCCAUCUGUUCAUAACUUCCCAGGCCCCAUCUGUUCCCACCUCACUCGGAGUACCAGUCCCAAGACUGGCAAAGCCCUGUAUCAUCUACACCCUCACUCUGUCCUCCUAUCCCUCAAAUCUGCCCCUAGUGUGCUCUAGUCACAUGGGCCUUUUGAUGCUCCUUGAACUUGCUCCUGCCUUAGGCCUCUGGACCUUUCUCUAGAAGUUCCCACUGCCUGGAAUGCUCUUCUCCAGGUAUAACUUUCUCACCAAUUUCAGGUCAGUGCUCAGCUCUCACCGUGCUAUUUCACACAGCAAGCUGUACCUCCCCCCUGCCUCCCCCCAAUACCAGGUUCCUUUUGUCUUUUUUCCUUCUUUUCCCCAUAGUAUUCAUCCCUACAUAAUUCACUUAUUUGUUGUGUUCAUUGUUUGCCAUCUGUCUUCACCAGGAAGUUAGUUCCAUGAGGUUAGGUAUCUGUUUUACUUAGUGACGUAUUGCAAAUGCUGGCAUAUAGUAAGUAUUCCAUAUAUGUUUAAGUUAACGAAACCAGCCUCCAAUGCUCGCUCAGGGUGAGAGCUGAGUUGGGCUGAAAAAAAAAAAAGUCCAGAAACUUUCUGGAUAAGUUUAUUAUGACCCAAGGGUCAAUAGUCAUGUGCCGGGGCACCUGUGUGGCUCAGUCAGUUAAACGUCCAACUUCAGCUCACGGUUCAUGAGUUUGAGCCCCAUGUGCUGACAGCUCAGAGCCUGGAGCCUUCUUUGGAUUCUGUGUCUCCCUCUCUCCCUCUGCCCCUCCCCCGCUUAUACUCUGCCUCUCUCUCUCUCUCUCUCUCUCUCUCUCUCUCUCUCACAAAAACAAAUAAAACAUUAAAAGAAAAAAAUAGUCAUGCGCCCAGGCUUGGAAAUUCCCCCAGAUGUAGAGGAAAAUGGACCCAGCAAAAUUCAGCAAACCCAGGGAGGUAUUUAGCCAGACUUCCCUCCCAGUAGGUUCCUGGUUAGAUCCCAUCACAGGCAACUGGGCUGGAGCUGAGAUGUUGUUCACUUAAAUGAUGACAGGAAAAAGGAAAUGGUGAGGGGAAGUCCGCGGUGGGCAUGAGAAAGGCACCUGAAAUGCAUCAGUCUGUAGAUUAAGCCACUGGCUGCUGGAAUGAGGAAGUCCCUCUCCCAGAUCUGGCAGGGCAGAGAGGUAGCUCACAAGGGGAGGGAAGUGGCAGAAAGGAGCUGCAUUCUUUCUUUCUUUUUUCAUUUCAGUGAUGUAUUUAUUUUAUAACUGGAAGUUUGUACCUCUUACUCCCUUCACUUUACCCAUGCCCGCAUCCACCUCUCCUCUGGCAACCACCAGUUUGUUCUCUGUAUUUAAGAGUUCUGUUUGUUUUUGCUGGAGUUUCUUCCGUCUUCUCUAGGGGGAAGCCCCACACUAGAUCUCAUGCUACAAGACAGGGCCAAACAGAGUUCAGGUCAUUGCUGUGGCCUGGGGCCUCCUCUCCUCUUCUGAAAUCCCCCAGGGGGAUAUCCAUCCUUCCUUUUGAUAAAGUGAAGGAUUUAGGUUGAAUGGGAGGGUAGAAAGGUUCAGCCUGUCGGGAAUACUCUACAGAUCAACCAUGUUUUUGGAACUGGGGUCCAAGAUCUCUGACUCCACGUCCUGGACUGUGUCCCAGGUGGACCUGCUCACGCUCUUCUCAUGGAGUCUCCCCCCACGUUCUGGAAUGACUCUCUCCUUCUUCCAGGCAGCAGAGUUUUGUUGUUGUUGUUGUUGUUUUUCAUCUCAAUGUAGGGUGAAGUUCCAGAAGACAGUGUUGUACACCCAAUGCAGAACCUCAGACUGCAUGGCCAAGAGGACCUUGUUGAUGGAAGCCCAGAGAGGGAAAAUAACUUGUCCAAGAUCACACAGUUCCUGGGCCACUCUUAAGGAAGGAGCUGGAAAGAGAACUUAGGUUUUCUGACUGCACUUUGAAGUUCCUUCCAGCAGUAAGAUUUUGUGAUUUCUUGAUGCUGAUCCACUCUACUAUAGAGUGGCUUUCGUCACAAAACUCUGGCCCUGACAUCCCCCAGGUACCUUGUCUGCUGCCACUGGCUGUGGCCACAGCAGCCCAUUCCUUGGCCCCUGGAAGGGGUGACAUUCUUUUCUAGGGUAUUUGGAAAUAUAUUCUUCAGCCUCAUUCCCCUUCUUAUAGCCAAAUCCCCUAAGCUUCUGUAAGUUGGCACCUUCCCACUUCCCUCUUCCCAGGCUCUGUGACUCCGAUCUGCACACUUUCCCUUUCCCUUCUCCUGGCUAGUGCCUUUCCAGUUCCACACCUCCAGUCUGGACAUGGUCUUGACUCUGGCAGGGAUGCAGAAUCACAGGAAUUAUUGGAAAGAUGUUAGAGAUCAGAGUCCUGCUCCACACUGUCUCCUGCAGAUUUUGGGGGGCUGUCCCUUCUCUCUACUGCUUGAGGAUCAGGAUAGAUGUCAGGGCUCUCAUUCAUUGAGCACCUAAGAUGUACAUGUAUUCCACGAGCAACCAGUAUGUAGCAGGCACUGUGUAAGAGACUUACUCUCUCAUGUCGUCCUCACAGAAUGGCCCAGCAAGUUAAAGAUUACUCCCAUUUUAUAGAUCAGGAGGUUGAGCUUCAGAAAGAUUCUUUAAUUUGCCCUAGUCAUAGAGCUAAUAAAGGGUAGGAUUAGAAAUGAAACCCAGAUGUGCUGAACUAAAAGCCUAAAUCCCAUGCACAAGGGGUGGGAGAAGAGGGAAGGGUUGUAGAAAGGGGGGAAAUGUGAAACACUAUCUUCCAUGGCCUCCCUGGCUGCAGGACUGAGGGGUGAAUAUCACUGUGGGAAUGAUUUUAUAUCUUCCAAUCAAACUUCAGAGAGGAGAGGUCACUGGGCCAGGGAGGCAGCAGGGGUAUUUUGCUGACAGCCCUUGACAUGCACCCUGCUACCUCUCAGCCUGUGCAUUUAUGAUCACCUGGCUGCUUCUGGAAACUACCCAGCCACACCAAGGCAGGUAGCCCGCCCCUCCUCUCUGGGUUGAGGAAGCAGGAAAAGGUGGCAGUGAGAGGCUUUGGGCAGACGUGCUGGGCAAUGAUGGCCGGAGCUCCUGUUAGGAUGGGCUUUCUCUGGGGCCUGGCUCUGCCCCUUUUCUUCUGCUGCGGGGCUGGGGCCCCUGGGAGCUCUGCAGGUAAGGAGGUGUGGGCUGCUCUCCUCACAGGGCUCUGGGUGUGAGUUUCUGUACCGGUAGCCCUUUGUGGUUGAUUAAUUAGAAUUAACCAUAAAGCUACAUCUGAAGUAUUACUAUUGUUGAUAAAGAGUGUGCAAAUGGCAGUGUGUCAGCUUACGCAUGUAUGACACUGCAGUCCGUAGGAUGAAUGAUGUCCUUGUGCCCUAGCUGCCGGUUGUCUCUGCGGGGAGUGUGUGAGGUGGAGGGGUGGGAGGGGCGAGGGAGGUGCCGGCAGGGAAUAAAUCUGACUAAAGCCAAAGAAAGCAGCUUGACAAGAUUCCAACUCCUCCAAGUUUAUUUCCUAGCCCAGAUUUCCUUUAAAAAACAGUUUUGGUGUGAAAAGUCCAACUGUUACAGACUGCCUGGGGAGGGCGGAUUCUGAGAAGGGCAGGGCUUUUAUGAAAGAGACUGACAUGGAUGUGUCAUAGGAACUGUGCCAUGCUUGUCACAUGCAUUGUCUUUAUUAUUUUUUUAAUAGACUUUUUAUUGUAGAGCAGUUUUGGGUUCACAGCAAAAUUGAGCAGAAAAAACAGAGAUUCGGUUCACAUAUAACCUCUGCACCCCCCCAUACCUAAUAUCCCCUCAUUAUCAACAUCCUGCAUUAUCUUUUUCUUUUUUUUUUUAAUUUUUUUUUUAACGUUUAUUUAUUUUUGGGACAGAGAGAGACAGAGCAUGAACGGGGGAGGGGCAGAGAGAGAGGGAGACACAGAAUCUGAAACAGGCUCCAGGCUCUGAGCUGUCAGCACAGAGCCCAACGCGGGGCUCGAACUCACGGACCGUGAGAUCAUGACCUGAGCUGAAGUCGGACACUUAACCGACCAAGCCACCCAGGCGCCCCUAAUGACUAUUUUUUACAGCAGUUUUAGUUUCGCAGCCAAAUUGAGAGGAAGGGACCGAGACUUCCUAUAUGCUCCCAUGCACCAUCUUUUUAAUCCUCUCGGUAACCUCAUGAGAGAGACACGGGUCUUGUUAUUACCCGUCUCUCUCCACAAGAUGGGACUGAGGCUUACCAUCUUGCAACUCAUCUGCAAAGCCAGAAUGUUAUUCCGCAUGUGCCUACCACUAGGACCACGUUGUCUCUUGCACGCGCUCAUGACCUGCCAGGCUUGUGCUGCACAUUUUACAUUUAAUUGAACUUAGUCUUCACAACCCUAUGAAAUAGGUACCUGUAGCUCCAUUUUAUAGAUGAGGAAAAUGCACGCUUGAGCCAGGAGACUUGGUCGGGGUCACAUGAUUGGUAAGCAGCGGAGUAAACAGCAGAGAAGGGACUCAAACUCAGGAUCUAUAGUACACAUGCCUUCCUCUCUGCUUUUUUGAUCUGAGGAAUGGACCAAGAAAGCUGCAGCAUUCUAGAGCUGUAGAGGAUUGGGUAGGCUUUGCUGUGUUUGAGAAGACCUCUGGUGGGUAAGAAACUUGGGUGGGGUUGUGAGAGCCCCGAGGGGUGUGAAGAAGCUACGGGGUUGGAAGCAUCAGGAGGUUUCACAGCAGGAUGGUAUCACAGGGUUCCAGGAAAAGGAAGAAAAUACUUCAGGGGAGGUGGAUGGUCAGACCCCAAGAGCACCACUGGUUGGGCUCUAGGCUGGGUGGGUUGACACAGCUUUGCUUUCACUGUGUGGGGACUGAGGAAGCUCAGAGAAAUAUCUUGGGCUUUGAAGUGGGGAGGAGAAAGUAUAUU
rnacentral:lncRNA from 1 species